ACACCAUUGGUGUAGGGGUUAACAUGGGAGCUUCCCAUGCUCCCGCGCGGGGUUCGAGUCCCCGAUGGUGUA
rnacentral:tRNA from 1 species